rnacentral:rRNA from 1 species
GAUGAACGCUAGCUACAGGCUUAACACAUGCAAGUCGAGGGGCAGCAUGGUCUUAGCUUGCUAAGGCUGAUGGCGACCGGCGCACGGGUGAGUAACACGUAUCCAACCUGCCGUCUACUCUUGGCCAGCCUUCUGAAAGGAAGAUUAAUCCAGGAUGGGAUCAUGGGUUCACAUGUCCGCAUGAUUAAAGGUAUUUUCCGGUAGACGAUGGGGAUGCGUUCCAUUAGAUAGUAGGCGGGGUAACGGCCCACCUAGUCAACGAUGGAUAGGGGUUCUGAGAGGAAGGUCCCCCACAUUGGAACUGAGACACGGUCCAAACUCCUACGGGAGGCAGCAGUGAGGAAUAUUGGUCAAUGGGCGAUGGCCUGAACCAGCCAAGUAGCGUGAAGGAUGACUGCCCUAUGGGUUGUAAACUUCUUUUAUAAAGGAAUAAAGUCGGGUAUGCAUACCCGUUUGCAUGUACUUUAUGAAUAAGGAUCGGCUAACUCCGUGCCAGCAGCCGCGGUAAUACGGAGGAUCCGAGCGUUAUCCGGAUUUAUUGGGUUUAAAGGGAGCGUAGAUGGGUUGUUAAGUCAGUUGUGAAAGUUUGCGGCUCAACCGUAAAAUUGCAAUUGAUACUGGCAGUCUUGAGUACAGUUGAGGUAGGCGGAAUUCGUGGUGUAGCGGUGAAAUGCUUAGAUAUCACGAAGAACUCCGAUUGCGAAGGCAGCUUACUAACCUGUAACUGACAU